UGAGGUUACAAGCAGGUGUCAUGGCAGGA
rnacentral:piRNA from 1 species